rnacentral:tRNA from 1 species
GGGCCGGUAGCUCAGUUGGUUAGAGCAGGGGACUCAUAAUCCCUUGGUCGGGGGUUCGAGUCCCUCCCGGGCUA